AUCACCCCAUCCACGUGUUCCAGGGCCUGCCCCGGCCUGUCACAGGUGCUGCGUCACUGGCAGAAAACCACAGGCUAAGCAGACAGAGCAACAGACGCCUUUUCUUCGUGGCUUCGUGCGGAGGUUUCCCGGCAGCGAAGGAGCUGGGGGAGGGGAUCGAACAGCUGAUCUGGCCCCAGAACCUGGGAGCAAAUUGAUCACCAGAGCCGAACUCAGCAGAGGACGCACGGCCCCCGCCCGAGACGUCGCAGCCCCCGGGGAGAGCGCCCCAUGGAAGACGUGGUUGAAUGCAGUGAAGGCCUGAGCCAGACCGAUGUGCUGAGGAAGAAGAACCAGCUGGAGGAGAAGGGGCUGGUGACGGAGGGGCUGGCUGCCUGCUUCAGCCGGGCCAUGGAGCUGCUGAAGAGCCGUCAGCAUGUCCGGAUGUGGCAGGGCGGCAGAUUCAUCUUGCAGAGCGAUGGGUGCUGGGUGGAGUUCAGGAUGGGAAACACCCACCCGAUCCUGCUGGUGUGGUACGACCCCCACAAGAAGGAGGUUCAGAUCUCCGCCCCCUAAGAGGGGAGGGGAUCAGUCCACCCAUCAACUCCUCGCCUCUCUGUGCUGAAUAAAGGCCCUCAGGGGGCUUGAAUCUGGC